GGUUUCAUAGUGUAGUGGUUAUCACGUCUGCUUUACACGCAGAAGGUCCUGUGUUCAAACCCCAGUGAAACUA